rnacentral:rRNA from 1 species
GAUCUGGCUCAGGAUGAACGCUGGCGGCGUGCCUAACACAUGCAAGUCGAACGAAGCAAUUAAAGGAAGUUUUCGGAUGGAAUUUGAUUGACUGAGUGGCGGACGGGUGAGUAACGCGUGGAUAACCUGCCUCACACUGGGGGAUAACAGUUAGAAAUGACUGCUAAUACCGCAUAAGCGCACAGUGCCGCAUGGUACGGUGUGAAAAACUCCGGUGGUGUGAGAUGGAUCCGCG